rnacentral:rRNA from 1 species
UACGUAGGGGGCUAGCGUUGUCCGGAUUUAUUGGGCGUAAGAGCGUGUAGGCGGCCAAGUAGGUCCGUUGUGAAAACGUGGAGGCUUAACCUCCAGCUGUCGAUGGAAACCAUUUGGCUAGAGUCCGGAAGAGGAGAGUGGAAUUCCUGGUGUAGCGGUGAAAUGCGCAGAUAUCAGGAGGAACACCGAUGGCGAAGGCAGGUCUCUGGGCAUUAACUGACGCUGAGAGCGAAAGCAUGGGGAGCGAACAGG